CGCACGCGCGCUACACUGACCGGAUCAGCGUGUGCUCUCCUUGGCCGACAGGUCCGGGAAACCCGUUGAACCCCGGUCGUGCUAGGGAUAGGGAAUUGCAAUUAUUUCCCUUGAACGAGGAAUUCCCAGUAAGCGCGAGUCAUUAGCUCGCGUUGAUUACGUCCCUGCCCUUUGUACACACCGCCCGUCGCUACUACCGAUUGAAUGGUUUAGUGAGGUCCUCCGAUUGGACCCGGUCCGGGCGGCGACGUCCGAGCCGGCGUCCGAGAAGACGAUCUAACUUGAUCAUUUAGAGGAAGUAAAAGUCGUAACAAGGUUUCCGUAGGUGAACCUGCGGAAGGAUCAUUA
rnacentral:ncRNA from 1 species